rnacentral:lncRNA from 1 species
UGGUUUUAAAUGUAUGUCUUACUGUCUUACUUGACCACUGUGUGAUUUUAAAAUUUGAGAUAUGAGUGUAUUACCUAAUGCAUGUUUAUUGUUUAUGUGAUUUUGUUUAACUUGGUAACUGAGACUAAGGAAAAACAUAUAAGGUGACAGUCUCACUAGAUAUCCUGUAAGAUGGUGGACGGACCGGGUUCAUAGGGAACCCUACCGUGAAUGUUGUCUCAUACCGGACGGGGUAUGGAGAC